GGUUAAGCGACUAAGCGUACACGGUGGAUGCCCUGGCAGUCAGAGGCGAUGAAGGACGUGCUAAUCUGCGAUAAGCGUCGGUAAGGUGAUAUGAACCGUUAUAACCGGCGAUUUCCGAAUGGGGAAACCCAGUGUGAUUCGUCACACUAUCAUUAACUGAAUCCAUAGGUUAAUGAGGCGAACCGGGGGAACUGAAACAUCUAAGUACCCCGAGGAAAAGAAAUCAACCGAGAUUCCCCCAGUAGCGGCGAGCGAACGGGGAGCAGCCCAGAGCCUGAAUCAGUGUGUGUGUUAGUGGAAGCGUCUGGAAAGGCGUGCGAUACAGGGUGACAGCCCCGUACACAAAAAUGCACAUACUGUGAGCUCGAUGAGUAGGGCGGGACACGUGGUAUCCUGUCUGAAUAUGGGGGGACCAUCCUCCAAGGCUAAAUACUCCUGACUGACCGAUAGUGAACCAGUACCGUGAGGGAAAGGCGAAAAGAACCCCGGCGAGGGGAGUGAAAAAGAACCUGAAACCGUGUACGUACAAGCAGUGGGAGCACGCUUAGGCGUGUGACUGCGUACCUUUUGUAUAAUGGGUCAGCGACUUAUAUUCUGUAGCAAGGUUAACCGAAUAGGGGAGCCGAAGGGAAACCGAGUCUUAACUGGGCGUUAAGUUGCAGGGUAUAGACCCGAAACCCGGUGAUCUAGCCAUGGGCAGGUUGAAGGUUGGGUAACACUAACUGGAGGACCGAACCGACUAAUGUUGAAAAAUUAGCGGAUGACUUGUGGCUGGGGGUGAAAGGCCAAUCAAACCGGGAGAUAGCUGGUUCUCCCCGAAAGCUAUUUAGGUAGCGCCUCGUGAAUUCAUCUCCGGGGGUAGAGCACUGUUUCGGCAAGGGGGUCAUCCCGACUUACCAACCCGAUGCAAACUGCGAAUACCGGAGAAUGUUAUCACGGGAGACACACGGCGGGUGCUAACGUCCGUCGUGAAGAGGGAAACAACCCAGACCGCCAGCUAAGGUCCCAAAGUCAUGGUUAAGUGGGAAACGAUGUGGGAAGGCCCAGACAGCCAGGAUGUUGGCUUAGAAGCAGCCAUCAUUUAAAGAAAGCGUAAUAGCUCACUGGUCGAGUCGGCCUGCGCGGAAGAUGUAACGGGGCUAAACCAUGCACCGAAGCUGCGGCAGCGACACUAUGUGUUGUUGGGUAGGGGAGCGUUCUGUAAGCCUGUGAAGGUGUACUGUGAGGUAUGCUGGAGGUAUCAGAAGUGCGAAUGCUGACAUAAGUAACGAUAAAGCGGGUGAAAAGCCCGCUCGCCGGAAGACCAAGGGUUCCUGUCCAACGUUAAUCGGGGCAGGGUGAGUCGACCCCUAAGGCGAGGCCGAAAGGCGUAGUCGAUGGGAAACAGGUUAAUAUUCCUGUACUUGGUGUUACUGCGAAGGGGGGACGGAGAAGGCUAUGUUGGCCGGGCGACGGUUGUCCCGGUUUAAGCGUGUAGGCUGGUUUUCCAGGCAAAUCCGGAAAAUCAAGGCUGAGGCGUGAUGACGAGGCACUACGGUGCUGAAGCAACAAAUGCCCUGCUUCCAGGAAAAGCCUCUAAGCAUCAGGUAACAUCAAAUCGUACCCCAAACCGACACAGGUGGUCAGGUAGAGAAUACCAAGGCGCUUGAGAGAACUCGGGUGAAGGAACUAGGCAAAAUGGUGCCGUAACUUCGGGAGAAGGCACGCUGAUAUGUAGGUGAAGUCCCUCGCGGAUGGAGCUGAAAUCAGUCGAAGAUACCAGCUGGCUGCAACUGUUUAUUAAAAACACAGCACUGUGCAAACACGAAAGUGGACGUAUACGGUGUGACGCCUGCCCGGUGCCGGAAGGUUAAUUGAUGGGGUCAGCGCAAGCGAAGCUCUUGAUCGAAGCCCCGGUAAACGGCGGCCGUAACUAUAACGGUCCUAAGGUAGCGAAAUUCCUUGUCGGGUAAGUUCCGACCUGCACGAAUGGCGUAAUGAUGGCCAGGCUGUCUCCACCCGAGACUCAGUGAAAUUGAACUCGCUGUGAAGAUGCAGUGUACCCGCGGCAAGACGGAAAGACCCCGUGAACCUUUACUAUAGCUUGACACUGAACAUUGAGCCUUGAUGUGUAGGAUAGGUGGGAGGCUUGGAAGUGUGGACGCCAGUCUGCAUGGAGCCGACCUUGAAAUACCACCCUUUAAUGUUUGAUGUUCUAACGUUGACCCGUAAUCCGGGUUGCGGACAGUGUCUGGUGGGUAGUUUGACUGGGGCGGUCUCCUCCUAAAGAGUAACGGAGGAGCACGAAGGUUGGCUAAUCCUGGUCGGACAUCAGGAGGUUAGUGCAAUGGCAUAAGCCAGCUUGACUGCGAGCGUGACGGCGCGAGCAGGUGCGAAAGCAGGUCAUAGUGAUCCGGUGGUUCUGAAUGGAAGGGCCAUCGCUCAACGGAUAAAAGGUACUCCGGGGAUAACAGGCUGAUACCGCCCAAGAGUUCAUAUCGACGGCGGUGUUUGGCACCUCGAUGUCGGCUCAUCACAUCCUGGGGCUGAAGUAGGUCCCAAGGGUAUGGCUGUUCGCCAUUUAAAGUGGUACGCGAGCUGGGUUUAGAACGUCGUGAGACAGUUCGGUCCCUAUCUGCCGUGGGCGCUGGAGAACUGAGGGGGGCUGCUCCUAGUACGAGAGGACCGGAGUGGACGCAUCACUGGUGUUCGGGUUGUCAUGCCAAUGGCACUGCCCGGUAGCUAAAUGCGGAAGAGAUAAGUGCUGAAAGCAUCUAAGCACGAAACUUGCCCCGAGAUGAGUUCUCCCUGACUCCUUGAGAGUCCUGAAGGAACGUUGAAGACGACGACGUUGAUAGGCCGGGUGUGUAAGCGCAGCGAUGCGUUGAGCUAACCGGUACUAAUGAACCGUGAGGCUUAACCUU
rnacentral:rRNA from 1 species